ensembl:snRNA U5 U5 spliceosomal RNA
UCUUCAGAUCAUAUAAAUCUUUCACCUUUUACUAAAGAUUUCCGUGGAGA